GAUGAACGCUGGCGGCGCGCCUAACACAUGCAAGUCGAACGAUUAAAGCACCUUCGGGUGUGUAUAAAGUGGCGAACGGCUGAGUAACACGUGGGCACCCUGCCCCUUCCAUUGGGAUAGCCACGGGAAACCGUGGAUAAUACCGAAUACUUCGAGACUUCCGCAUGUAAGACUCGAGAAAGCUCCGGCGGAGAGGGAUGGGCCCGCGGCCUGUUAGCUUGUUGGUGGGGUAACGGCCUACCAAGGCAAUGAUGGGUAGCGGGGUUGAGAGACCGACCAGCCAGAUUGGGACUGAGACACGGCCCAGACGCCUACGGGAGGCAGCAGUGGGGAAUCUUGCACAAUGGGAGAAAGCCUGAUGCAGCGACGCCGCGUGCGGGAUGAAGGCCUUCGGGUUGUAAACCGCUUUCAGCAGGGACGAGGCGAAAGUGACGGUACCUGCAGAAGAAGCCCCGGCUAACUACGUG
rnacentral:rRNA from 1 species